rnacentral:lncRNA from 1 species
UUUUGAUUGAUUUAUUAAUUUGCGGAAAAAUGACAAUUUUUCGACUAACCGAGUAAGAGAACUCGUAUUCAAACAAUUGGGGAGAGAAGUUGAAGGCUCAAAGUCAUCUCCUUUUUCAUUUAGCUUAUUAUGAAAAUAACUUGAUUUGAUCGGGUUUAGAAGUUUAUAGAGAAACGACAAUCAUUUGAUUAACCAAGUAAGAGAACUUAUAUUCAAAUAAUUGAGGAGAAAAAUUGAAAACUCAAAGUCAUCUCCCUUUUCGUUUCUUAUUAUAAAAUGAUUCGAUUUGUUUGUGCUU